AUACGGAGGAUGCGAGCGUUAUCCGGAUUUAUUGGGUUUAAAGGGAGCGUAGGCGGGAGCUUAAGUCAGCGGUUAAAUGGUGCGGCUCAACCGUGCCCUGCCGUUGAAACUGGGUUUCUUGAGAGAGCAAGAGGCGGAUGGAAUUCAUGGUGUAGCGGUGAAAUGCUUAGAUAUCAUGAAGAACUCCGAUUGCGAAGGCAGACCGCUGGGGCACGUCUGACGCUGAUGCUCGAAGGUGCGGGAAUCAAACAGGAUUAGAUACCCUGGUAGUCCGCACGGUAAACGAUGAUUACCCGCUGUCGGCGGUAGACAGUCGGCGGCCAAGCGAAAGCGAUAAGUAAUCCACCUGGGGAGUACGCCGGCAACGGUGAAACUCAAAUGAAUUGACGGGG
rnacentral:rRNA from 1 species